UACGGGGGGGGGCAAGCGUUGUUCGGAAUUACUGGGCGUAAAGGGCUCGUAGGCGGGCAACUAAGUCGGAUGUGAAAUCCCCCAAGCUUAACUUGGGAACUGCAUCCGAUACUGGAUGGCUUGAAUCCGGGAGAGGGAUGCAGAAUUCCAGGUGUAGCGGUGAAAUGCGUAGAUAUCUGGAGGAAUACCGGUGGCGAAGGCGGCAUCCUGGACCGGCAUUGACGCUGAGGAGCGAAAGCUAGGGGAGCAAACGGG
rnacentral:rRNA from 1 species